AACGAACGCUGGCGGCAGGCUUAACACAUGCAAGUCGAGCGCCCCGCAAGGGGAGCGGCAGACGGGUGAGUAACGCGCGGGAAUCUACCUAUAUCUACGGAAUAACCCAGGGAAACUUGGACUAAUACCGUAUACGUCCGUAAGGAGAAAGAUUUAUCGCCGAAGGACCGGCCCGCCUCCGAUUAGCUUGUUGGUGGGGUAAUGGCCCGCCCAGGCGACGAUCGGUAGCUGGUCUGAGAGGAUGAUGAGCCACACUGGGACUGAGACACGGCCCCGACGCCUACGGGAGGCAGCAGAGGGAAAUAUUGGACAAUGGGCGAAAGCCUGAUCCAGCCAUGCCGCGUGGGUGAUGGAGGCCCUAGGGUUGUAAAGCCCUUUCGGCGGGGAAGACAAUGACGGUACCCGCAGAAGAAGCCCCGGUUAACUUCGUGCCAGCAGCCGCGGCAAUAC
rnacentral:rRNA from 1 species